rnacentral:rRNA from 1 species
GACGUAGGGGGCCAGCGUUGUUCGGAAUUAUUGGGCGUAAAGAGCUCGUAGGCGGUUUGUCGCGUCUGCUGUGAAAACCUAGGGCUUAACCCUGGGCCUGCAGUGGGUACGGGCAGGCUAGAGUGUGGUAGGGGAGACUGGAAUUCCUGGUGUAGCGGUGAAAUGCGCAGAUAUCAGGAGGAACACCGAUGGCGAAGGCAGGUCUCUGGGCCACUACUGACGCUGAGAAGCGAAAGCAUGGGGAGCGAACAGG